UCUCGUAUCGGUUCACGAGUCCUGUGACGUCUUUCUGUUGAUGUUCAAUGAUGGAGAAUCUUCAGAGAAUCGCUUUUCAUGGAUGAGCAUCAAAACACAGAAAAACUCUUUCAGAUAAACUCUAGACAUGUUUCAGUGAUCUGCAUUGUGUUGAAUGAAUGGAAAUGCUUCAUAUGUGUUUCUUCUGGUUUUAGUGCUGAUGUCCUUCAUCCACGCUGGACUCACUCAAGAGAGACCCAAACCUGUAGCUCGUGUUGAUCCUGAUAGACGUGUGUUCAGAGGAGAGACGGUCACUCUCACAUGUCACAUACAGCAGACAGGAGUCUGGCAGUACAGCUGGUAUAAAUACAACACACAAGUUUACAGAGCAAGACAAAACCAGAACUAUAUAAUCUCAUCUGUGGAUUGGUCUCAUGGUGGUGUGUACAGCUGUAGAGGAUCUCAGUCAGAAGCUCAAGGUUACUCACCGUACAGUGCUGGAGUUAUACUGACAGUAUCAGAUAAACCACGACCGACUCUGACUGUAAAUCCUGAGAGUUCAGUGUUCACUGGAGACACAGUUACUCUGAGCUGUGAUGUGGGACAGUUAACUGGAUGGACAAUUAUCUGGAGAAAAGACUCAAACACUGACUCCACGGGUGAUGCAACUAAAACAAUCAGGUCUGUGAGCGUCUCUGAUGGAGGAAGAUACCAAUGUAGAGCAAAACGAGGAAACUACUACAGCGAGUACAGUAAUGCAGCUGAGAUAACAGUAAAAGAGAGACCCAAACCUGUAGCUCGUGUUGAUCCUGAUAGACGUGUGUUCAGAGGAGAGACGGUCACUCUCACAUGUCACAUACAGCAGACAGGAGUCUGGCGGUACAGCUGGAAUAAAGACAACAAACUUUACAGAGCAGGACAAAACCAGAACUAUAUAAUCUCAUCUGUGGAUCCGUCUCAUGGUGGUGUGUACAGCUGUAGAGGAACUCAGUCAGAAGCACCAACACACACACAGAUGAGUGACGGAGUUACACUGACAGUAUCAGAUUUACCCAGAUCUACACUGACUGUGACACCAGACAGUCCUGUAUUCACUGGAGAGACAGUCACUCUGACCUGUGUUAUAGAGUCUAAUCACAGUGACUGGAGAUAUGAGUGGCAUAAAGACAGUGUAAUGUUACAGACGUCUGAUGGUUACACUGUAAACAGAGACACUCUCACUAUCAGAGGAGCGAAUGAGUCUGAUCAGGGUCAGUACUGGUGUAGAGGACAGAUAAGAUCAGUCUCAUCACAAUCAAGCUCUGUUUCUCUCUCUGUGACGGAUGGUGAUGUGAUUCUGGGGAGUUCUGUUGAUCCUGUGAUUGAGGGAGAUACUCUGACUCUACACUGUUUACAUCGAUCUACAAACUCCCCGAUCCUCGGAGCUGAUUUCUAUAAAGACAGAUCACUCGUCCAGAAUCAGACGACAGGAGAGAUGAACAUCACGACUGUCUCAAAGUCACAUGAGGGUUUCUACUCCUGUAAAACAGAGAGAGGAGCGUCACCCAAGAGCUGGAUCUCAGUCAGAGGUCAGAUUUCUGUCUUCAGCAUCCUCAGUUUUCUUCUGGCAGCUUGUCCGUAUCUGCUGGCGACAGUCGUGCUGCUGUUCAAAUGCUGCAGAGCGAGAUGUAACACUUCUGUCUGAUCCGUCUCUCCUCUGAGUGUCUUUUCUCAAACCAUUCACAUUCACUGACAGACAGACCUUUACUCUCUUUAUGUUAGAGAUCAAUAUUCACAACAGAUGGUGUUACAUCUACUCAAGACCACAGCCAGUACGGUGUAACGGAGUAACAGAGGAAGAAACUUCAACCUGAUAUUUCAUCUAUUCUUCAAACACAAGAACAGACACAUGUUCACACUUUCACACAUACGGAUGAUUUAGAGUCUCUGAUUCACCUGUGCUGUGUAUUAGACUCCGAGAGAAACCAAACCAACACAUGGAGAACAGCAAACCCACACAGAAAGACCUCCGGACUCAUCAUCAUCUACUUUAAAUAGAGUUUCUUAAUGUGUGUCAAAUUCACUGUAAGCUAUUGAAAGUUUCCCUUUAAAGUCACUCAAGGAACAAACGAAACUCUUAAAAAAAAUUAAAAUACAGCAGUUUAUAACUCCUUCUACAUGAAUGAAAUGAGAAAUCUUCAAACUGAUGAAAUAUCAGGACAAAGAGAUUUUUACAGUUUUAACUUGAUUGUCAAUAAAAGCUGAGACAGAGAUAUCACUAAUAUCAGAUAUAUUAUAAUUGUAUUGAAUGUGAGGAACAGGUUAUGACUCUUUAAGUGAACAGAUCUCAACAAGAACAAAUAAAGUUUACUACAAACAACUAACAACGAUUAUAUUAAUAAUAUCAAAUUACGUCUCAACAACAUGUAUUUUGUUCAUGAUACUCUUUUAUGUUAAACAAUUUUGCUGAGACUUCAUCUACGUGAUAGUUUAUAUUUUUUUAGCAAGUAAAAGGAGUUUUAGUAUAAUUCUUAAAAUGAUAUUUCAUUGUGAAAUCUUCACUGAUUUUAAAAUAAUUUAGGUAGGACACUGAUAAUCUGGCAAUUAGAUGUUUUAAUGAAAAUGAUCUCAAACUUGAUUUUUUCCGCUAUAUUGAUAUUGUGCUCUGCUUUUGCACUGUCUGCAGUGAUGUCACACCGAGGCAAAAGCCAGAAACUUCCACAUUAUAUAGUGCUGAUCACCAUUUACAGAAUAACAUCUGUAUAAAAUCUAGUGAUCGUUGGCUAGGCUACAACCUCUAUGGAUUUUAUCGAUUUACAAGAAAAGGAAGGAAAAGGAUUUAAUUGCGAACAGUUAUUGAUUUUAUGUGUGAUAAGAUAUCACGGCAUUUGAGUCCUCACGUACAGAAGUGUGCAGAGUCAAUAAUCUGCACUAUAUGUGGGUCAUUCUACAGAAACAUCCACUUUUCUGUCCCUAGACUUUAAAGAAAUAUUACAAUUGAAAUACACAUUAGGGUUACAAUUUUUUUAUAUUUUAAAAUGAAACAAUAUGUCAUUUGAACAAUUACACCUUCCAGAGCCAUCAAUGUGGCAUUAUAUUUUAUUUUUAUUAAUUAUAUAGAAUUCCAAACACCACAAAACUGCUCGUCCCCACAGCCAUGUACAGCAGGAAAGUGCUUUAUUUUGAGGUCAAAAACAGAAUUUUCUACCAUUUAAAAUAAAAAACUGAAUUCAUAACUAUCAAAUAUAUGAUAUAAAUGGCAUAAUAAAACAAAAUGCCAAAAAAAAUAUUAUAAAAUAUAUAAUGAAAAUAGUGGUCCCCUGGAGUUGUGUCACUGGUGUAAGUCUUUUAUUUUGGAAUAAAAAAAAAUACAAAUAAAAAAAUCACACUGAUGACAUCACUCAACUUCCUCCUUCCUAUUUUCUAAACAUCUGUGAAAAAAGUCCCAUGUUUAGUCCACUGUUUCUUUUCAGUUAUGAGAAAUUUUCUCAUUUAUCUCAUGAUUUCAUAUGAAGCUUUUAGUUGAUGUCACUGGUAUGACCUAUUUAUUGUUAGGGAAAUGUAAAAAAAAAA